GAAAUAGUCGGACAAACAAAUAGAUGGGAACGCAAAGGAAUAAAUAUCAAUGGAGAGUAUUUCAAUCACCUGAGAUUUGCAGAAAACAUAGUACUGUUCACUCAAACACCAAAUGUGUACUGCAGGAAAUGCUAAGUAACUCGAAGACAGAAAGUGAGAAAAUACGACUGCAAAUUUACUGUGAGUUGCCUGAUGAUGAUGUCCUGUACAUCGAAAACGUUCGUAAUAAAGUUUUGUAGAACCUAUUAUCUGCUUAGUAGUGCUUUAGGCGAAUACUUGAUUACAGAAUUAUUAAAGCAGUAGAGAAGAACUUAUACUUACCAAUUGUAAAGUUAAUUAGUUG
rnacentral:lncRNA from 1 species